rnacentral:rRNA from 1 species
GAGUUUGAUCCUGGCUCAGAUUGAACGCUGGCGGCAGGCUUAACACAUGCAAGUCGAGCGGAAACGAUGGGAGCUUGCUCCCAGGCGUCGAGCGGCGGACGGGUGAGUAACGCGUAGGAAUCUACCCAGUAGUGGGGGAUAGCCCGGGGAAACUCGGAUUAAUACCGCAUACGCCCUACGGGGGAAAGGCCGGGAUCUUCGGACCGGUCGCUAUUGGAUGAGCCUGCGUUGGAUUAGCUAGUUGGUAGGGUAAAGGCCUACCAAGGCGACGAUCCAUAGCUGGUCUGAGAGGAUGAUCAGCCACACUGGAACCGAGACACGGCCCAGACUCCUACGGGAGGCAGCAGUAGGGAAUCUUAGACAAUGGGGGAAACCCUGAUCUAGCCAUGCCGCGUGUGUGAUGAAGGCCCUAGGGUCGUAAAGCACUUUCGCCAGAGAUGAUAAUGACAGUAUCUGGUAAAGAAACCCCGGCUAACUCCGUGCCAGCAGCCGCGGUAAUACGGAGGGGGUUAGCGUUGUUCGGAAUUACUGGGCGUAAAGCGCACGUAGGCGGAUUAGUAAGUUAGUGGUGAAAUCCCAGGGCUCAACCCUGGAACUGCCUUUAAUACUGCUAGUCUUGAGUUCGAGAGAGGUAAGUGGAAUUCCGAGUGUAGAGGUGAAAUUCGUAGAUAUUCGGAGGAACACCAGUGGCGAAGGCGGCCUCCUGGCUCGAUACUGACGCUGAGGUGCGAAAGCGUGGGGAUCAAACAGGAUUAGAUACCCUGGUAGUCCACGCCGUAAACGAUGUCUACUAGCCGUUGGGAGACUUGAUUUCUUAGUGGCGCAGCUAACGCAAUAAGUAGACCGCCUGGGGAGUACGGCCGCAAGGUUAAAACUCAAAUGAAUUGACGGGGGCCCGCACAAGCGGUGGAGCAUGUGGUUUAAUUCGAUGCAACGCGAAGAACCUUACCAGGUCUUGACAUCCUGCGAAUUUUCUAGAGAUAGAUUAGUGCCUUCGGGAACGCAGUGACAGGUGCUGCAUGGCUGUCGUCAGCUCGUGUCGUGAGAUGUUGGGUUAAGUCCCGUAACGAGCGCAACCCUUGUCCUUAGUUGCCAGCACAUAAUGGUGGGAACUCUAAGGAGACUGCCGGUGACAAACCGGAGGAAGGUGGGGACGACGUCAAGUCAUCAUGGCCCUUACGACCUGGGCUACACACGUGCUACAAUGGAACGCACAGAGGGCUGCAAAGGCGCAAGCUGGAGCGAAUCCCACAAAACGUUUCGUAGUCCGGAUUGGAGUCUGCAACUCGACUCCAUGAAGUCGGAAUCGCUAGUAAUCGUGAAUCAGAAUGUCACGGUGAAUACGUUCCCGGGCCUUGUACACACCGCCCGUCACACCAUGGGAGUGGGUUGCAAAAGAAGUGGGUAGACUAACCUUCGGGAGGUCGCUCACCACUUUGUGAUUCAUGAGUGGGGUGAAGUCGUAACAAGGUAACC